rnacentral:lncRNA from 1 species
UGAAGAUAGAAAUAUACAUAUUUAUCAUAUAAAUAAUAUCAUAAACACUCCAAAUUACAUGUAUAAUAUAUAGGCAUUCAUAGUAUUUGAAAAGCAAUUAGAUUACUAGAAAUCAUGAAUCUAUAUUUAAGGGGAAUAUAGACCGUUACAACUAAUAGAUUUAUCGACUACCAAAAAAGAUUAGAAGUAAAGCUAUUUUAUUGAAAAAAAUUAUAAAUAAAGAUUUAUCUAUAAUGGGAUUCAAAUAAUGAAAUCAUAUUCUUCAAAUCUUCGAUCGUGCAGACCCUUGCCUUGGUGCUCCAGUGUCAUAUAAGAAGGAAGAUGAUCAUAAUUAGUCCCUUAUGUAAUUAAAGAUUGUAUCAGACUGCCCAAUCAACCUAAGUGAUCUUCAUGAGUAGUACUUUAGCUCUCAACAAAGUAUGCCGAAAAUAUAUGUGAAGCUGUGCCACCAAGAAUCUUGCUAUACCCUCCAUAUCUCCUAGACCUUGAAAUCAGAUACAUGCCCUGAGUGUACGCACUGCCAU